GAUGGAACACCAGUUCUCCUAUGAUCUCUGCAGUUAAGCAACAUUGAGCCUGGUCAGUAGAUGGGUGAUUGCUUGGAAAUAGCAGGUACUGUAAG